rnacentral:rRNA from 1 species
UCGACGGGGAGGUUUGGCACCUCGAUGUCGGCUCAUCACAUCCUGGGGCUGUAGUAGGUCCCAAGGGUUGGGCUGUUCGCCCAUUAAAGUGGUACGCGAGCUGGGUUCAGAACGUCGUGAGACAGUUCGGUCCCUAUCCGUCGCAGGCGUAGGAAAUUUGAGAAGACCUGUCCUUAGUACGAGAGGACCGGGAUGGACGUACCUCUGGUGUACCAGUUGUCCUGCCAAGGGCAUGGCUGGGUAGCUAUGUACGGAAUGGAUAAGCGCUGAAAGCAUCUAAGCGCGAAGCCAACUUCAAGAUAAGAUUUCCCACCGCAAGGGUAAGACCCCAGAAAGACUAUCUGGUUGAUAGGUCGAAGGUGUAAGUGCAGCAAUGUAUUUAGCUUAUCGAUACUAAUAGGUCGAGGACUUGACCAAU